rnacentral:rRNA from 1 species
UACGGGGGGAGCAAACGUUGUUCGGAAUCACUGGGCGUAAAGGGCGUGUAGGCGGCUGGAUAAGUGGGAUGUUAAAUCCCCCGGCUCAACCGGGGACCUGCAUCUCAUACUGUUCAGCUCGAGCACAUCAGAGGAGACUGGAAUUCCCGGUGUAGCGGUGAAAUGCGUAGAUAUCAGGAGGAACACCUGUGGCGAAAGCGGCGCACUGGACCACAACUGACGCUGAGGCGCGAAAGCCAGGGGAGCAAACGGG